rnacentral:rRNA from 1 species
AGAGUUUGAUCAUGGCUCAGAUUGAACGCUGGCGGAAUGCCUAACACAUGCAAGUCGAGCGGGGUAGCAAUAUCCAGCGGCGGACGGGUGAGGAAUACAUAGGAAUCUGCCUUUAGGUGGGGGAUAGCUAGGGGAAACUCUGGGUAAUACCGCAUGAUCUCGCAAGAGCAAAGGGGCGCAAGUCUCGCCUUUAGAGGAGCCUAUGUCUGAUUAGCUAGUUGGCGGUGUAAUAGACCACCAAGGCGAUGAUCAGUAACUGGUCUGAGAGGACGAUCAGUCACACCGGAACUGAGACACGGUCCGGACUCCUACGGGAGGCAGCAGUGGGGAAUAUUGGACAAUGGGCGAAAGCCUGAUCCAGCAAUUCCGCGUGUGUGAAGAAGGCCUUCGGGUUGUAAAGCACUUUAGUGGGGGAAGAAACAGCUUGGCCACACCAAGCCUUGACGGUACCCCAAGAAUAAGCACCGGCUAACUCUGUGCCAGCAGCCGCGGUAAUACAGAGGGUGCAAGCGUUAAUCGGAUUUACUGGGCGUAAAGGGUGCGUAGGUGGCUAUUUAAGUCGGAUGUGAAAGCCCGGGGCUCAACCUCGGAAUUGCAUUCGAUACUGAGUGGCUAGAGUUCGGUAGAGGGCGGCGGAAUUUCCGGUGUAGCGGUGAAAUGCGUAGAUAUCGGAAGGAACAUCAAUGGCGAAGGCAGCCGCCUGGGCCUGGACUGACACUGAGGCACGAAAGCGUGGGUAGCAAACAGGAUUAGAUACCCUGGUAGUCCA